UGGUCAUUACCAAGGCUUUUAGAAUGCAGUUUUCUGCUUGGCUGUGGAGUUGACCAUUAAAAAAAAACAAAACCUUCCCACUAGGUUUUCUUUUUGCUACCUUGUUAGCAUUCAGGUUAUUGGGAACAUUC
rnacentral:snoRNA from 1 species